rnacentral:lncRNA from 1 species
UAUCUGGAGGAGGAAAACGACAUACAAUUAGGUUAGUACAUUUUAGAUAAUUUUCUCUUUGUAAGUUUUAAAGUAGCUUAUACAAACAGUCCGUCUUAAGAAAAAUAUCGCUUGAGCAGUGAAAACAAAUACAAGGUCAUAAGUCAUCUGUUUUAUCUUAAAGAAUAGAACUGUCUUGUGUAUAUCACCUAAUGUGUACUGAAUAAUUGCAGUGAUGUAAUAAUUAUAAUAAAGUAUUACUUUCCUUGGUAUUUUUAACCAACCUGUGAUAAGAAUAUAAAAACAGAAUGCUCCGAAGCUAUCAAAACAAUUCCCUACCCUUCAGUAAGUAUACUAAAACAUGAUGCUUCGAUUCCUCAACCUUGGUCACAAAUACUUUUUAUUCUUAGCUUUAGGAGAAAUUUAAAAAAAUGAGUCUAAUUUGCAAGUUUUGGAAUGUUUCAUAAAAACGACAGGCCAGAAUGUACAUAUCUGGAUUUUUUUUAAAUGAAGAGACACAAUCUCAAUCUGGUAUCUAUCACUCUGAUAUAAACAACUGACAUCUUACAGAUGAAUUGUGUUGACAAACACUUAGUUAAUUGAUUUUCUUUAACAAACCGUCGGUAUUCCUAUCAGAAACUUCUCCCUAGUUUCCCAUGGAGCAGACCUCAUAAUGAGAUUUACAAGAAUAAAUCAGUUUGUUUGCUAUUUUGAAGUCUUUCACAUUUUAAACAAAGAAUAAAGGAUAUUACAGAUACUGUUAUCUCAUAACUUAACUUGCAUCUUUAAAUCAGCAAUUGUGUGGGUUUUUUUUCACUUCAAUUUUAAAGUUUACAACAAUUUUGAUAAUUUUUAUUUUUCAAAUUUUAAACUUUCCAUUUUUAUAAUGUUCUCGGUACUUGGGCUGGACAUUUAUCAUACUUAAGCAGCGUUUCCUGUUUUCUUACGACUUAUAUUGUUUGAUUGUCCCAAAUGUUUGCUUUCCUUUAUUUGACUCUUUAGAUAACAUUUACAAUGAUACGUUAAAAUAAGAACAAAUAUUAUUUAACAUAAUAUAAAUAUGUAAUUUCAUUGUAUCAUUGAUGUGUCUUUUUUAAGUAGCUAAAAAGUACUGUUUAUAAGUUUUAUGAUCAAGAUAAAUAUGAUUGAGUAUACAUAACCUAAUGAAUGGUUGGUUAAAGACUGCUUAAUGUUGAAUUAAUCAAGAAAAUGAAUAGCUUGUGUAGUGUGAGCUUAAGCAAUAGACUCAACUGCUACGUCAUUUGAUCACUAAUGGAAAGUUUUAUUACUGGCUAUCAUACCACAUCUUUGUAUAUCUGCAUUGAAAUUUUAAAAACUGUUAAAAUAAGUUAUUUUUUGUAGGUAUCUGAAGACUUCAAGAUGGAUAUUGGAUCAGGUAUGAAUCUAUGAAUCUACUUGUCAACUUUAAUGUUUUUAACAUGCACAGAAAAAAGACAAGUACCACCUACUAGAUAAAAAAUAAGACACAAGCACCUUUUAAACAAUCUACAUUAUACGUAUGAAGUGAAUAAUAAUACAACGUACAUGUUAGGCUUGCAAUUGUUUCCCCUCCUUCAUAAAAUAGAAUUAUCCCUUUUAAUUUAUAUUCUUUAGUACAUAUGGUACAUAUUCAUAUACACUUUAAAUUACAUUGGAAAAUGAAAAUAAUACUUUAAAAAUUGGUUUGUCCAAAGUGCUUAUCUGUAUUAAUCUUUAUUAUUAACUUUCAGAGCCAAUAAUCUGCAAUUACCGAACAAAAGUUUGAGCUAUAUGACCGCAAGGACCAUAAAAUGGUAGACCAACUUGCUUGUGGGAUUAGAACAUUGGCUUCAAAAUAAUUUCUCAAUGCAUUUAUUUACUUUUAUCAAAAUUAAUUUGUUGGACUUAUGUAAAUUUCUUUUAGACUACAGAUUCACUGAGCCUUUUAAGCUUACAGAACAAAUGUACAAUGACUAUCAUGACAAUGGGUAUCUUAUCAUACGGUUAGUAUUAAUAAUCUGACAAUACUUUUUUUUAUAAAUUUCAAUCCUGGUAUCUAUGAAUAGUUUAUAUGGACGAAACGCGCGUCUGGCGUACUAAAUUAAAAUCCUUGUACCUUUGAUAACUAUUUACACCACUGGGUCGAUUCCACUGCUGGUGGACGUUUCGUCCCCGAGUGUAUCACCAGCCCAGUAGUCAACAUUUCGGUGUUGACAUGAAUAUCAAUAAUGUGGUCAUUUUUACAAAAUUCCUGUUUACAAAAUUUUGAUUUUUUUCGAAAUCUAAGGAUUUUCUUAUCCCAGGCAUAGAUUACCGUAUUUGGUCGUAUUUUGGCAAAUCUUUUUGGAAAUUUUGGACCCUCAAUGCUCUUCAACUUUGAAAUUGUUUGGCUUUAUAAAUAUUGUGAUAUGAGCGUCACUGAUGAGUCUUAUGUAGACGAAACGCGCAUCUGGCGUACUAAAUUAUAAUCCUGGUACCUUUGAUAACUAUUUACACCACUGGGUCGAUGCCACUGCUGGUGGACGUUUCGUCCCCGAGUGUAUCACCAGCCCAGUAGUCAACAUUUCGGUGUUGACAUGAAUAUCAAUAAUGUGGUCAUUUUUACAAAUUUCCUGUUUACAAAAUUUUGAUUUUUUUCGAAAUCUAAGGAUUUUCUUAUCCCAGGCAUAGAUUACCUUAUUUGGCCGUAUUUGGCAAAUCUUUUUGGAAAUUUUGGACCCUCAAUGCUCUUCAACUUUGAAAUUGUUUGGCUUUAUAAAUAUUGUGAUAUGAGCGUCACUGAUGAGUCUUAUGUAGACGAAACGCGCAUCUGGCGUACUAAAUUAUAAUCCUGGUACCUUUGAUAACUAUUAUAAACAUGUUUUUGUCAUUUUCAUUAUUGAUAUUUGACACCGAUUAUGAUUUUGAUUUUCAUGAUAGUCAGGAAAUCAAAUUCGAUCUUCUUGCAACGCUUUUCUAUGCUAAUCUAGAUCAGAAACACUUCGACGAUAACUGCUCAGAGAGCCAAAGAUAAUAUAAGUAUAGGUAAAUGCAGGGAAUCGUCACGUUAAGAUACCCACGCCCGUUUCAAAGUCCAUAACAAAAUCAUUGAGGCAAACAUAACAAGAUUCUGAGAAAGUUUAAUUAAAUUCUGAAUGAAAUAUGUAGUGUAGCGUAGUAUACUGGUAAAAUAAAGUCCAUGCUCUGUCUGAGUUGAUCUAAGAAAUCCUUUGAAAUUAAGAACUAAAAUAAAUGUGAAAAAGAACAAUCUGUGAGCAAGAUUAUGUAAUCGUUUCACAAACUUUUUUUCAAGUUGUUCAUGAACAGACAGUAGCUUAUACAAAAGUGGGGUUGAUUGACCAACGGACAGACGAUAUUUAAUGUCAUAUCGAUAUUUGUCCUGUUGGUAUGUUAACUGACAUUGGUAAACUUUCUAUAUUUUUAACCCUUAUUGAUAUGAUCAUAUAUCGUGUGAGUAUGACUACGAGAGGAAUCUUGAUACACAUUGGAUAAAGAUAAAGAGAGAAAUUUUUGGUAUGUUGUCCAAAUGUUUUAUUCCCUGCCUUUAUAAUAACAAAUAUAUAUUUUUAUAGUAAUAUGCUUGACAAAGAGGAGAUUAACAAAAUAGAGAAAUGUGUGACCGGAGAAAAGUUUAUGGAGAACAAAUACUCGGUAAGUUUGGUUUUAACAUAGAUGAUUUUUAUCUGAUGUCUACAUAGAUGAUUUUUGUCUGAUGCCUACAUACAUGCAAGUCACUUGAAAUAAAGCAACACUGAUAUAUGUUUUUAUAGAAUGGAGUCAAGCCUGUGUAAUAAAUGCUUAAAUGAAUUUUAUAAAAAAUGGAAAUAAAUCUUAAUAAAUUUAAAGAGUCCUAAGCACUUUUCUGGAUUUUCUUUAAUCUGGGACGUUUAAUACCGAAUAUUUUGAAUGCCAAUAAUUUUUUAGAACCGAAACGGAGACGAACUGUAUUACAAAAAAGGAUAUAAAAAUAAUACACAAAAACAUCAAAAGUCAACUUUGCCAGAUGGAGUUGGAACUAAAGUUCUUUCUUAACAAAUAAGCUGCAAUAGCAUACUUGAGAGUGUAUGAGUGUAUAUAUAAAUGGUGUCCAGCAUAGGUUUGGUUGAUGUUUCGCAAUCGUUUACAUAUCAUAAUGUUUAUUUUAAAAUUAGAUUUUUAUUCAUCUUUUAUUUUAAUGUCAUCAUUGAUGAUAGAUAACAUAGAAACAUCAUAUUAUUUAAGCUAGAAGAUAAAGAUAAUAAGAUAAUACGAGUUGUUUGGAGACAUCCUGGUACUGACGUCACUGGAAUUGUAUCUAGAUCAGAGAAGAUAGUGAGUAGUUGUGAAAAGGUAAGUACUUAGUUAUUCAAUAUAGUCCCGUUUUUAUAACACAUCUGUUAAAAACAACAACGCCCAAAGCCAAAUAUUUGAAAGCCAAGGAUUUAUAAGAACCGAAACAAUUGAAGAGCUAUAUAACCAAAAAUAACUAAUAAAGUAGCCAAAUCAACUAAGGCUAACUUUGUUAGUUUUUUAUUAUUUCAAAAUUUAUUAACUGAAAAUUUUACAAAGGGUUGUUUUAAAUCAUGUCAGUACCGAAGUACUCUCGAUGAUAGAGGUAUUGACCCAUUGAUGUAAUGAUGAAAACAACACGUUAUUGAAAGUUUAUUAUUGCUAUUUGAUUUUGCCAUUUGAUAAGAGCCUUUUCGUUUUAAUUUUCCUUUGAGUUCGGUAUUUUUUUGUUAUUUUACUUAUUGUCUGGUAUAUUUUGCUACUGUUCAAUAUUUCAUGUUUGUUUUUGCUUUCUUAAUAUGUUUAGUUACUUGAUGGCGAAGUGUAUCACUACCAUGCUAAGUUGAUUAUGAAGGAACCUGAAGUGUCUGGUCCUAUAUACUGGCAUCAGGAUUACGGGUGACUAUUUUCGCAAAUAUUAUCUUUGUUUGAACUUUAUAUUCUAACUAUCCUAUCAAUUACGAGUACAGUUUAUUAUUACACAUAUCUCGUUAUUCGUUCACUAUGAUCUUGUAUAACUUAAACUUGCGUUAACUUAACCGAAUAAGGAAUAUCUGCUGUUUAUUUUCUACAAAGUCUAAUAUGGCUAUUCAAUUACAUUUGCCUAAAUUAUGAUAUGUACAGAAUGCGAACAAUCAUUGGUAGCAAAUAUUAUUGAUUACUUGUAAUCAAAGAAAGUUCACUUGAUUUCUCAUUUUGAAGAAAUACAUAUUCUCAUUAUAUUUAUGAUGAAGUUUGAUUAUUUGUAACAAUACAUAUGUUUAAUGCAUUUAAUAUUUUAAAGCUAUUGGUAUCAUUACGGUAACCUUUUCCCUGACUUGCUGACUGUUUGGGUUGCAGUUGAUCCCAGCACGAUUGAAAACGGAUGUCUGGAGGUUCGUUAUGGUCUAUGUUUGUUAGUGAAAUCACAGAAAAAAAAAUAAAUAUAGCCAGUAAGAAAAACGAACAUUUAUUUGUUUAAUUUCAUAAUUCAUAAAUACUAGAAUACCGAAUACCCACUAGCUGAAUCUGAAAGUCUUCUAUACACUUUGAAUAAAUUGAUGUGAUUCAAGAAUUGCAAAACAAAAUGCACCUAUAGUGAAACAGUCUUUGAGUAUUAACGUAAUCAAGUCAGUUUACAUACUUUUCAAAAUUUUGUUUUCGAUUUUGUUUUCAACCAGUAACUUUUUACAUACUAUUCUUUUGAUAGGGUUUAGACUUUCAUCAUGAUAUUGCAUACUUUUAUUUGUUAUAAAUUUAGCCAUUCAUUCAGUUAACAUACUAUUCAUACUUUGUGAUAUGGAUUUAAUAGCAUCAAAUCAGUCUAAUAGUAUUCAUACUAUAUCAUAUUUUUGUGAUACAGGUUUUAGCAGGAUCCAAUAAAUGUGGACGGUUAGAUCACCAUGUUGAUGAUGGACAAAAUCAAGUUGCCGAACUGUCACGUCUAGAAUCUAUUAAGGAGAGAUGCCCUCAUGUCAAAGCUGAGAUGGAGAAAGGUAAUCCUACACUUCAGAAAAAGCAAAUUCCGAUAGUUUUAUGAUAUCAGUAUCAAUUUAUUCAAAUUCUUACUUUUGAUCUUUUUGAUUCCAGCGUCAGGGAUGAUUUUUUUUGUAGACAAAACGCGCUUUUGGCUUACUCAAUUACUACACUGUAACCUUUGACUAUUUUGUCUUCUCUGUUUUACAAAUUAGAUAGAACCGAUGUUCAAAUCUCAUAAAUUCAGAAGAUACAAAAUCAAAUUUAAGAAACAAAAACCAGGAAAUUAUAUUUAACCCAAAAUGAACGAAACAGGAUGCGUGACAUGGUAGGCAUCGGUCUAUACACAUUAUCGCAAUUAAGACUUAACCAAAGAUUCUGCGACACUUAAACUAUUCGCGUCAAACAACAAUCGUUUUUCUAUUGAUACGUCAUAUCCAUUAUUACGUAAACAAAUGACGGGAAUCUUUGUAAUGUCCAAAUGUAUGGCAAACAAAUAACGAUAAGGUGUAUAUUUAAACCUCAUGAAUAGGGCACAAAUAGUAAAUUUACAUAUCAGCUUAUUUUUUGGUAUUGAAAGGUUUUAGACCGCAAAAGCAUAUCGUUAGUGGGUUUAGACGCAUACCCAUCAUUUAGACACAUACACAUUUUGUAUAUAUAUAUAUAUAUAUAUAUAUAUAUAUAUAUAUAUAUAUAGGUCCAUCAAUUAAUAAUCGAUGAUGACCGUAUAACCAUGAUAUGGUUUUCAUUCUUGUUUCCUAAUAAUUAUGCUGUAGCAGUUUUGUGUAUCCUGUUAAUGAGGUCUGUAAAGAACGAAAUUGUAUGUGCGUAACGUAUUCGUUGGUAUGUGUCAUUUCAGUAGGCUGGGACAGAGUGUAAUUGUUCUAUGAUAAUUUUUGUAUUAUUGUCUUUCAUUUUUGCUAAUAUGCUGUGUCUGUAUGCAUUUUGUGUUUCUUUGCUACAUAUGACGUGGCCCUGUGUUUAUAAAUUCCGUCAUUGUGUUAUUGUGCCAUCGUAAAUAUGUGUUUACAUAUUUGUUUGAUUUAUAUUGAUUAAGAUGAUAACCCAAUGUUGACUGAUAUGACGUUUUUACCUAUUAUGUAUAUUUGUUUUGUUCACACGUCGUUUUCAAUAUAAUAGAAUUUAGCUAUAAGAAAAUGUAUGUAUCGAGUAAGGAAUAUGACAGUUGUUGUCCAUUUGCUUGAUAUUGUUGAGGUUUGGAUUUUUGCCAUUUGAUAAGGGACUUUCUGUUUUGAAUUUUCGUCGGAGCUCGGUAUUUUAGUGAAAUAAUUUUUUGAUACUUCUGAGUAAUGGCAAGUUGACAAUUUGAAAAAAUGAAAUCACGAUAGUUAUAAAUGUUUUGGUUAAAGUCGUAUACCUUUGUCAGUAUAAUAUAUAAGAUCAAUUUAUGAAGUAGAUUUUCUAGUUUCGAUGAUAGCUUUAAUACUUAGAAACAUCUUUCAUUUUCUUUACAGGAGAUGUUUUGUUUCUCCAUUCCAAUACACUACACUACAGCAGUCCGAAUCGUAGUAAGAUGAGAAGGAUUGGAUUCCUCAUGUGUUACAACAAAGCCUCUAAUGAAUCCGUCAUGGAACAUCAUCAUGCUCAAUAUACCCCCAUACAGAAGGUAGGUUUUAUCAUUUUGGCUCAAUGUAGCCUUAAAGGCAGAUCUUUUAAGGGAGUUCGCUUCUCAGUUUCAAAGUAAUUAACUUUUCAAAACACUAAUUUAUAUAGAUAGGGGAUUGAUAAAGGAAUCCAAAGAGCAAUAAAAAUAUAUAGGUCACCGUGCUUGUUUUUCGAGAUAAAAGCCAUUGAAAUUUUGGCGGGAAAAUAUUCUCUCUUGACUUUUCAUAGCUUUAUCAAUGACAAGUUGAAGUUUUCAAAAACUGUUAAAAAGUAAUUAAAAUUUUAAAAGACUUUUACAGAUGGCUUAUCAUUAUACAUGUAAAAGAUUUACAAAAAGAAAAAUAGGGGUCACCGGGCAAAUUUUUUUUAAUGCAUUCAAAUGUAUAAAACCAGAGGAUUCCGAAAAUCUGACAAAACAUUUUAAACAUGACAAGCCAGCUUCCUUAACAAAAUUGACAUGCAUCAUAAAAACGAUCAUAGCUUACUCUUUUUCAUUCAGGAGUAUUGUGAAAAUGUACACAAAACGUAAAAGUAAAUAUAAUUGACAUAUGCAAACAAUAUAAGUAGACGGAAUUUAAACGUGUACACUAGUAUAGGUAAAGGGGUAGGUUCAGUAAGACCCCUUUUUGGCCCAAAAAUAUAGCAAUUACAAAAUUGUUAAAAUGUAAACUGUUAGUUAUUUAUGGAAAGUAGAAUGCUUCUAAUACAUAGAUAUGGGCUGUUUUUGACAAUACAAUGCUCAUAUAUCGGUACUAGCAUCAUUUACUCAUGCUUAAUUACUGAAAUCUUUACAAUUUUAGCAUAUUAGUUAAGUUUUUCCGUCUUAAAUGAAAAUGGCCGCAUUUGUGUUCAUUCUUAAUAUUGAAAUGUAAGUUGUAUUUGAUGAUAAUACAUAACAUAUAUAAAGGUUGAGGAUGAACACGGAUGCGUUCACUAUCAUAUUUGACAAAAGCCAUCUGAAAAAUGACAUUUUCUUGGCAUAUUUGAUAGAUUUUUUUAUAUUUAAGCUUGAAUCGGAGCGUUUUUAAUUACUUAAUCAGUAAAAAUCUUUCACAUAAACUCAUUGAAUCAACUGAAAUAGAUAAUAAAGUGUUUAAAAAGUGUCAAAAAUCUUUCGUCAGAUGAACUUAAAAUUUGAUGCCAUAAUCGGCCCUUACCGGACCUACUACUUUGAUUAUUUGAUAAUGGCCAAUCAAUUAUAAAUAUGAUGUUUAAACUCCACCGACUUAUAAUUGUUUGCAGGUAUCAAUCCUAAUUGUCAUGUUUGAGCAAACAUUAGUACAAACAAAUCAAGCAAGGCAAGCAAGCCAACCAGUCUCUUACUCAAGAGAGGGACGAAAGAUACCAGAGGGAGAGUCAAACUCAUAGAUAGAAGAUAAAAUGACAAUUCCAUGGCUUAAACUAAAAAGACAAACAGACAAAUAAUAGUACAGAAGACACAACAUAGAAAACUAACACGAACCCCAUCAAAAACUGGGGGUGAUCUCAGGUGCUCCGGAAGGGUAAGCAGAUCCUGCUCCACAUGUGGCACCCAUCGUGUUGCUUAUGUUAUUGCAAAUCCGGGAAAUAUCUUUAAAAGCUUCCUUUUGAGUAGCAAUCCUCUCUCAAUGAAAUCAUGAUAGAAAAUACAAGCCCGUAAAUAUCGUAUCAAUUGGGAGAUAUAUACUCCGUAUGCAGCCGCUGCUCGAAUGUUGCUACUUAGAAAUGGAAAGUUCACAAUUGAAAUACUUUGUACUUAUAUUGGUAAAGAGAAAAAUAUUUAACAUGAUUAUAUACACUGUUUAAUAAUACUUUCACCUGUCUCUUUUUCUCUCUCUCCGAAUAGUAUAAAUAGAGGAAAGAAUAUUCUGUUUCAAUUUAUAAACAUGAGUUGCACGUGCACAAUGGUCAAUUAGUCCAAUUAUUAUUUCAGGUUCCAGAUUCUGCAAUCAAGGAAUGUACAAAUUUUACAGACAUGUCGGGAAAGGAAUUUCAACAUCCAAAUACAAAUACAACAAUGAUUGGCAGGAAAGAUCAAUCCCACUAACAUAUGCGUUUUUUUUUCGGCAACGUAUAAACGUUCAUAUAGUUGGAUGGAGACGAAAUACAAGUUGUCGUAAAUAAAAUAACGCUUCAUCCAAUAAAAAUAAAUAUUAAUAAAAUAAUUUUAUUACUAUAAAUUUAUUAAUACAACUAGUUGCAUUGAUCAUAAAUUAUGUUUUACUUUUUAGUAAACAUUUUCCAUAUUCGGUUAUCAAUAUCCAAAUAUAGUAGACAGA